AGAGUUUGAUCCUGGCUCAGGAUGAACGCUAGCGGCAGGCCUAACACAUGCAAGUCGAGGGAGAAGCCCUUUCGGGGGCAGAAACCGGCGCACGGGUGCGUAACGCGUAUGCAACCUACCUUUCACAGGGGGAUAGCCCGAAGAAAUUUGGAUUAAUACCCCAUAAUAUUAUUGGAUGGCAUCAUUUGAUAAUUAAAACUGCGGUGGUGAAAGAUGGGCAUGCGUCCUAUUAGCUAGUUGGAGUGGUAACGGCACCCCAAGGCUACGAUAGGUAGGGGUCCUGAGAGGGAGAUCCCCCACACUGGUACUGAGACAGGGACCAGACUCCUACGGGAGGCAGCAGUGAGGAAUAUUGGUCAAUGGUCGGAAGACUGAACCAGCCAUGCCGCGUGCAGGAAGAAUGCCUUAUGGGUUGUAAACUGCUUUUAUAUGGGAAGAAUAAGGUGUACGAGUACAUUGAUGACGGUACCAUAUGAAUAAGCAUCGGCUAACUCCGUGCCAGCAGCCGCGGUAAUACGGAGGAUGCGAGCGUUAUUCGGAAUCAUUGGGUUUAAAGGGUCUGUAGGCGGGCUAUUAAGUCAGGGGUGAAAGGUUUCAGCUUAACUGAGAAAUUGCCUUUGAUACUGGUAGUCUUGAAUAUCUGUGAAGUUCUUGGAAUGUGUAGUGUAGCGGUGAAAUGCUUAGAUAUUACACAGAACACCGAUUGCGAAGGCAGGGGACUAACAGACAAUUGACGCUGAGAGACGAAAGCGUGGGGAGCGAACAGGAUUAGAUACCCUGGUAGUCCACGCUGUAAACGAUGGAUACUAGCUG
rnacentral:rRNA from 1 species